rnacentral:rRNA from 1 species
CCUACGGGAGGCAGCAGUAGGGAAUAUUGCACAAUGGAGGAAACUCUGAUGCAGCCAUGCCGCGUGUGUGAAGAAGGCCUUCGGGUUGUAAAGCACUUUCGGUAGGGGAGGAAGAAAUGAACGUUACCCUCAGAAGAAGCACCGGCUAACUCCGUGCC